UCUUCCGCAAUGGACGAAAGUCUGACGGAGCAACGCCGCGUGAGUGAAGAAUGCCUUCGGGUCGUAAAACUCUGUUUCCGGGGAAGAACAAGUGCCGUUCGAACAGGGCGGCGCCAUGACGGUACCCGGCCAGAAAGCCACGGCUCACUACGUGCCAGCAGCCGCGGUAAUACGUAGGUGGCAGCCGUUGUCCGGAAUUAUUGGGCGUAAAGCGCGCGCAGGCGGAUUCUUAAGUCUGAUGUGAAAUCUUGCGGCUCAACCGCAAGCGGUCAUUGGAAACUGGGAGGCUUGAGUGCAGAAGAGGAGAGUGGAAUUCCACGUGUAGCGGUGAAAUGCGUAGAGAUGUGGAGGAACACCAGUGGCGAAGGCGGCUCUCUGGUCUGUAACUGACGCUGAGGCGCGAAAGCGUGGGGAGCAAACAGG
rnacentral:rRNA from 1 species